AGCAGCCGCGGUAAUUCCAGCUCCAAUAGCGUAUAUUAAAGUUGUUGCAGUUAAAAAGCUCGUAGUUGAAUUUCGGGAUCAAUUUAUCGGUCGUGCCAAUGGUAUGAACUGGUACAAUUAGUUUCUCCCUUCUGACGAAGCAUGAUGUCAUUAAUUUGGUGUCGUGGGGAAUCAGGACUGUUACUUUGAAAAAUUAGAGUGUUUAAAGCAAGCAUUAGCUUGAAUACAUUAGCAUGGAAUAAUGAAAUAGGACGUUUGAUCCUAUUUCGUUGGUUUCUAGGAUCGACGUAAUGAUUAAUAGG
rnacentral:rRNA from 1 species